rnacentral:rRNA from 1 species
AUGAACGCUGGCGGCGUGCCUAAUACAUGCAAGUCGAACGAACAGACGAGGAGCUUGCUCCUCUGACGUUAGCGGCGGACGGGUGAGUAACACGUGGAUAACCUACCUAUAAGACUGGGAUAACUUCGGGAAACCGGAGCUAAUACCGGAUAAUAUAUUGAACCGCAUGGUUCAAUAGUGAAAGACGGUUUUGCUGUCACUUAUAGAUGGAUCCGCGCCGCAUUAGCUAGUUGGUAAGGUAACGGCUUACCAAGGCAACGAUGCGUAGCCGACCUGAGAGGGUGAUCGGCCACACUGGAACUGAGACACGGUCCAGACUCCUACGGGAGGCAGCAGUAGGGAAUCUUCCGCAAUGGGCGAAAGCCUGACGGAGCAACGCCGCGUGAGUGAUGAAGGUCUUCGGAUCGUAAAACUCUGUUAUUAGGGAAGAACAAAUGUGUAAGUAACUAUGCACGUCUUGACGGUACCUAAUCAGAAAGCCACGGCUAACUACGUG